rfam:Alligator mississippiensis ScZkoYb_505, whole genome shotgun sequence.
GGCUCCAUAGCUCAGUGGUUAGAGCACUGGUCUCGUAAAUCAGGGGUCGUGAGUUCAAACCUCACUGGAGCCU